UUGCUGCGUACCUGAGGCCUUCUGAAGAUAAAAAAGACAUUGCCUUUCAUUUCUUUGGAGAGACUUCACUCCUACUGGACCAAAGCAGCUACUUAGACUGGUGAAAUAAACUUCUGGAUAAUCAGCACAGCCAGAGGAAAAGAGUCAAAAGUCAGGAAAGAGCUCCUCAAAUGUGUCAGAUGAAUGGGAGAUGGAAUAUAAAAGUACAUAUACAUCUUCUUUGCAUUGCUAUCUAACAGUUCACCAACCCCAGCUCCUGCUUGGUUUGUAAAGCUCCUAGACUCUCCUCCUUUUUGGCAGAACUGAGUGAAGUUGGCCGUGAGUACACCAACCAGAUCUGCAACAUCUUUCCUCACUGGGUGGGAUUUAGAUGGCUGUGUUCAAGACUGCUUCUGACAUGGUGCUCUGUUCUGCUGUGAAAACAGCUGUGUUAUGAGAAUUCUUAUCUGGGGCUAUGGACAUAUCCUGCUGACCCUGAUCUUGCCUUGCUGUUGGGACCUUCUGACUGGACCUCAGAUAUGCUCCAUCAUUGCAGACUCUUUCGGUGACUAAUGCCACAUGAAUCUGUUUACUGCUCUGCUGCUCUUGUUCCUGCACAUGAAUCUUACCCCUUUGGCUUGGAGGAUGCUGCCCCACUGCCACCCUUGGUCCUCUACUUAUCUUCCCUUAUAGAGUAGCCUGCUCCAUAGUUGCUUUAGGGACAUGGUUUAGUGGGCAUGGUGGUGAUGGAAUAGAUGAUCUUAGAGGUCUGUUUCCACCUAUGAUUCCCUGAUGGGGAGUUUAAUUCUGAUCAAUCUUAGUUUUAUGUCCUGGCUCAAGUGUUUUUACUAUAAUUUAGGACCUUCUUUCAAAAGGAGAAAAAGUGUCCUUCUUGGAGGUGCUGAAAGCCUUUUCUCUGAGUUCCUCGAGACUCUUAUAACAUGAAAAAGGUUUACUUUCUCCCAGAAGUUCUAGAACCUGACUGAUUCUAACUAUUGUCAGUGCAUGGUAAUAAGGCACAUUCUCGCUAUAGCAAGAAGGGCUGCAAACACAUUUGACAAUUAAGAAUCAGCGAGGAAGAGGGACCUGGGCAUGAAGCUGUGCUCUGAAAAUAGUGAAGCAAAAUUUUGCUUUCUGCGUUUGCUAAUCCCAAUUGCUGAAAUAGAAAGAAUGCAAUCUUAUGGAAACAAAAAUUCAAAUUAUCCUCCCCUUUUCCUAGAAACCACUCAUAGAGAUCAAGCCCUGCUCUAAUUUAGAGAACUGUCUGUGUAAUGGUGCAGGCUGUGAAGAACACUUGCCGAGUCUUGCACUUCUCAGGCAUGAUCAAAUUACUUCGUGUUUGUCUUUCUAUAUAAUAACGUCCUUGCUACAUUUCCCUGCUGCUUGGCUAUUUGUCGAUAAUUUUUUUCAGCCCUAAAAACAGGGAGAGAAAAUAACCUAUUCAUUAACUAUAUCAUUGCAGAAUAAGUGCCAAUCCUUGACUGCAGUCUAGACGAGGUAAUAGCUGGAAAGGUGUUGUAUCAGAUCUGUUAUUUGGGCUCUUGACUCAAAUUGUUUGGCUAAACAGCUGUUCAUGGGUUUAGUCACAAAAAAGACUAAAAAAUAAAAUGAAAUUCAAAAGGUAGUCCAUGCUAGGACAGGAAGAAAAAUAAAUCCACAAAUUUUGAAUAAUCUGUGCUGCUUUAUAUUCUGUCUUUGCUCUGGCAACAGUCUCAAAGUUAAUCACCUAUUUAUAUUCCAGUUUUUCACACAUCAUUUCAACAAUAUUGUUAGUAGGUUUACCUUUGAUGCUCUUUUUAGCUGCUUACCAUUUCUGAAUACCCAUAAAAUGGCUUUCAGAGAGCUAGCUGCAAAUUAUAAUGCUGUAGGCAUACUGUUCAGAAAGAAAGCAUGGUCAAGGAAGGUAGUGCUACAAUUUCUUGAAGGGAUUUUUCAAUAGGUUUCGAGUUAGGUCAGGCUAAACAUUUCACUCCCUUUUUCCUUGACUGAAGCCAACAUUUUUAUUAUUAGAUGCCUCAAGGAAUUGUUCUGCACUGGGGGGGAAAGAAGGCAUGGUUCUUUGAUGCACAGGGAAAAAAAAAAAAGGAAUGUCAUGUUGGCUGAGACUCAUUAAUCGUUCUACUUUUCAGUUUUUUGUAACUUUGCAGUGUGUUUGGGGAAGAUGGGACAUCGGAAAGAAAAGCAUCUGGGCACAGCUAGUGGCAUUGUGUUCAGUGUCUGCAUUUUAGGUGAAUGAGUUUGUUGCAACAGAACAAUAAAAAGUUCACAAUGAGAUCAGAACAUCUCGGCCUCCAGUCAUCUGAACACCAAUGCAUUAAAAAAUGUAUAUUGAAUUUAUAGAAUAUGUCUAUAUGUACUGAAAGAAUAAGGCAGAUUGCAAAGUAGAAUAAAGAUGUGCUUUGGCCACAACUGGAGUUUCACUUACACUGCAAGGCUUCCAGCUAGAUUUAUGUAGGCAAGAGCCCCCAAUAAGGAACAAAACAAAACGCGCUUAUAUGAUCUUGACCAUCAGCAU
ensembl:lncRNA